CGGAGCGUAGCGCAGCCUGGUAGCGCACUUGUCUGGGGGACAAGGGGUCGUGGUUUCAAAUCCCGCCGCUCCGACCA
rnacentral:tRNA from 1 species